GAUGAACGCUGGCGGCGUGCCUAAUACAUGCAAGUCGAGCGAACAGAUGAGGAGCUUGCUCCUCUGACGUUAGCGGCGGACGGGUGAGUGACACGUGGAUAACCUACCUAUAAGACUGGGAUAACUUCGGGAAACCGGAGCUAAUACCGGAUAAUAUAUUGAACCGCAUGGUUCAAUAGUGUAAGACGGUUUUGCUGUCACUUAUAGAUGGAUCCGCGCCGCAUUAGCUAGUUGGUAAGGUAACGGCUUACCAAGGCAACGAUGCGUAGCCGACCUGAGAGGGUGAUCGGCCACACUGGAACUGAGACACGGUCCAGACUCCUACGGGAGGCAGCAGUAGGGAAUCUUCCGCAAUGGGCGAAAGCCUGACGGAGCAACGCCGCGUGAGUGAUGAAGGUCUUCGGAUCGUAAAACUCUGUUAUUAGGGAAGAACAAAUGUGUAAGUAACUAUGCACGUCUUGACGGUACCUAAUCAGAAAGCCACGGCUAACUACGUG
rnacentral:rRNA from 1 species